rnacentral:rRNA from 1 species
AUCGAACGCUGGCGGCAGGCCUAACACAUGCACGUCGAACGAGUGGCGGACGGGUGAGUAAUGUCUGGGAAACUGCCUGAUGGAGGGGGAUAACUACUGGAAACGGUAGCUAAUACCGCAUACCCUCAGAUGUGCCCAGAUGGGAAUAGCUAGUGGGUGGGGUAACGGCUCACCCAGGCGACGAUCACUAGCUGGUCUGAGAGGAUGACCAGGGACACUGGAACAGAGACACGGUCCGAACUCCUACGGGAGGCAGCAGUGGGGAAUAUUGCACGAUGGGCGCAAGCCUGAUGCAGCCAUGCCGCGUGUAUGAAGAGGGCCUUCGGGUUGUAAAGUACUUACAGCGGGGAGGCGUUACCCGCAGAAGAAGCACCGGCUAACUCCGUGCCAGCAGCCGCGGUAAUAC